GGAUUAAUACCGCAUACGACCUACGGGUGAAAGCGGGGGAUCGCAAGACCUCGCGCUAUUGGAGCGGCCGAUGUCAGAUUAGGUUGUUGGUGAGGUAAAGGCUCACCAAGCCGACGAUCUGUAGCUGGUCUGAGAGGACGACCAGCCACACUGGGACUGAGACACGGCCCAGACUCCUACGGGAGGCAGCAGUGGGGAAUUUUGGACAAUGGGCGAAAGCCUGAUCCAGCCAUGCCGCGUGCGGGAAGAAGGCCUUCGGGUUGUAAACCGCUUUUGUCAGGGAAGAAAUCUUUCGGGCUAAUACCUUGAGAGGAUGACGGUACCUGAAGAAUAAGCACCGGCUAACUACGUGCCAGCAGCCGCGGUAAUACGUAGGGUGCAAGCGUUAAUCGGAAUUACUGGGCGUAAAGCGUGCGCAGGCGGUUGUGCAAGACAGGUGUGAAAUCCCCGGGCUUAACCUGGGAACUGCACUUGUGACUGCACGGCUGGAGUACGGCAGAGGGGGAUGGAAUUCCGCGUGUAGCAGUGAAAUGCGUAGAUAUGCGGAGGAACACCGAUGGCGAAGGCAGUCCCCUGGGCCUGUACUGACGCUCAUGCACGAAAGCGUGGGAGCAAACAGGAUUAGAUACCCUGGUAGUCCACGCCCUAAACGAUGUCAACUGGUUGUUGGGAAGGUUUCUUCUCAGUAACGUAGCUAACGCGUGAAGUUGACCGCCUGGGGAGUACGGCCGCAAGGUUGAAACUCAAA
rnacentral:rRNA from 1 species